AAAGUGCACAAUUGUCAUAGCCCUACCCACUCGACCUCACCAUCGCGUGUGAGGUGGCUGACUGGUGUCAGGGGUGACCAUGUCAUUUGCAUCAUAUGCAUGGAUUGCAUUUAUUGCUUGUGAUUACUGUAUUUUGUAUGCUACAUUUUGGUUGUUGCAUAUGAUUGGCAUACAUACAGGAGACAUGAGGUAUUUGGACUAAUGACCCUUGUAUCCGGAUAGGAGAUCCUGGUUGGAGUCGUUAGGAGGUUCCAGCUGCUAGUCCUCACUCCAUGUUGAGAUGGUUUUUUGUUUUCAGACUUUGGUUCCUUGUUAUGUGAUCUAUAGACUUGUGAUGUGUGUUUCUUGCACUCGUGGAUCUUAUAUCGAGAUUUUGGUAUGUUGCCCAUGUUUUCUGCUGCGAUGAUUUUCCGUUGUGGGUUGUGUUUUCUCGCUGUAGUGGAGUAGGUUAUAUAUAUAUAUAUAUAUAAUUGCAUGGAAUGUUUAUUUAAAUUAUUGCUUA